AAGGAAUCGUAUAACCGGCGGCAGUGGAAUUAACCACAAGGAGUACGAUUUUUAAAAGCCGACCGCCUGGGCAAUCAAA
rnacentral:ncRNA from 22 species